UCUUUCUUGGAAAGAUCUUUUCCAAGAAAGAUCGUAAUUGUUACGUCUAUGGCCACCUUUAUUGUCUCGGAAUUGCUAGGUCCCAAAAGUCUACUAUGUCAGCAGGCUUACCGCAGUGCCGCACCAUCACAAACAUUUCAUUUUAGGAAUAUAUAGAAAUUUACUUUUAUUUGUUUAUUAUUUUUUUACAGUUUUUGAAUUAUUUGCCUUCGGUCUCUUUCCAGCUUUCAAAUGGGGGUCACUGACACCAGCAUCAAACUAUUACUCUGGCUGAACUCCACAAACGAUUCUUGUCGUAUCCAAUGCUCUGCAACAAAACGCAGGUGACAAGUCGGAGGCGCCGAAUAUAAUGGGAGUGAUAGAAAAAUCACAGGUGGGCAUGUAUCACCAGCCAGGAGCAUGCACACUGGAAUCCAGGAACAGUUUGGCUUCUUGUGUUCCUACUCCACUCCUUGUCAGUGUUCAAGGAUGGGCAGCCUGCACACCUGGUGUGAAGGAGCCAGUCAGGGCAGCUACCAACAGGGCUGCCACCAGGGGGGACAGUUAUUCUGGACCCUGCAAAAUUUAAGUUUAAAGGGGGGCCCAGCUUGGCCCUGAAGAGCCGAAGAGCAGAAGAUCCAAAGAGCUGAAGAUCUGAAGCCCUGAAGCCAAAACCGUGAACGGAGCCAAAGCCGCGAAAA